GAAGCCCUUUCAGCCUCACAGGCAUGUCCCCACCUGCCUCACAGCCGCUGACGCAUCUCACGGCGGGGGUCUAAUGAGGUGCGCGUAUGGAUGCUCCUAUUCCUGCCGCCUUUCUAACAGCUAGUUACUGUUAUGAUGCAUCGUUGGUCCGGCGUACGACGGCGCCUGGUGCGAUUUAUGCGUCCGGAAGCCCUUUCAGCCUCACAGGCAUGUCCCCACCUGCCUCACAGCCGCCGACGCAUCUCACGGCGGGGGUCUAAUUGCGUGCGCGUAUGGAUGCUCCUAUUCCUGCCGCCUUUCUAGCAACUAGUUAUGUUAUGAUGCAUCGUUGGUCCGGCGUACGACGGCGCCUGGUGCGAUUUAUGCGCCCGGAAGCCCUUUCAGCCUCCAGGCAUGUCCCCACCUGCCUCACAGCCACCGAC
rnacentral:lncRNA from 1 species